rnacentral:rRNA from 1 species
UACGGAGGGGGCAAGCGUUGUUCGGAAUUACUGGGCGUAAAGCGUGCGCAGGCGGUUAUGCAAGGCAGAUGUGAAAUCCCCGGGCUUAACCUGGGGACCGCAUUUGUGACUGCAUAGCUGGAGUACGGCAGAGGGGGAUGGAAUUCCGCGUGUAGCAGUGAAAUGCGUAGAUAUGCGGAGGAACACCGAUGGCGAAGGCAGUCCCCUGGGCCUGUACUGACGCUCAUGCACGAAAGCGUGGGGAGCAAACAGG